rnacentral:rRNA from 1 species
ACACAUGCAAGUCGAACGGCAGCACGGGAGCAAUCCUGGUGGCGAGGUGGCGAACGGGUGAGUAAUAUAUCGGAACGUGCCCAGUCGUGGGGGAUAACGUAGCGAAAGCUACGCUAAUACCGCAUACGAUCUAUGGAUGAAAGCGGGGGAUCGCAAGACCUCGCGCGAUUGGAGCGGCCGAUAUCAGAUUAGGUAGUUGGUGAGGUAAAGGCUCACCAAGCCGACGAUCUGUAGCUGGUCUGAGAGGACGACCAGCCACACUGGGACUGAGACACGGCCCAGACUCCUACGGGAGGCAGCAGUGGGGAAUUUUGGACAAUGGGCGCAAGCCUGAUCCAGCAAUGCCGCGUGCAGGAUGAAGGCCUUCGGGUUGUAAACUGCUUUGUACGGAACGAAACGGUGAGCUCUAAUACAGUUUGCUAAUGACGGUACCGUAAGAAUAAGCACCGGCUAACUACGUG